rnacentral:rRNA from 1 species
UAGGGAAUAUUGCAAAAUGGGCGCAAGCCCGAUGCAGCAACGCCGCGUGGGCGAUGAAGGCCUUCGGGUCGUAAAGCCCUUUUUGAGGGGAUGAGGAAGGACAGUACCCUCAGAAUAAGCCUCGGCUAACUACGUGCCAGCAGCCGCGGUAAAACGUAGGAGGCGAGCGUUAUCCGGAUUUACUGGGCGUAAAGCGCGUGCAGGCGGAUUGGAGAGUUGGAUGUGAAAGCUCCCGGCUUAACUGGGAGAGGUCGUUCAAUACUUCCAGUCUUGAGUGCAGUAGGGGGAAGUGGAAUUCCGGGUGUAGGGGUGAAAUGCGUAGAUAUCCGGGAGGACACCAGUGGCGAAAGCGGCUUCCUGGACUGUAACUGACGCUCAGACGCGAAAGCUAGGG